CACUGCGGUGGCGGGGGCUUCACCGUAGCCGGUGUUGCCGGUGUCGGUGCGGAUCAGCACCACCACGUCUUCCACGGUUUCCACCGUGCGCAGGGC
rnacentral:tRNA from 1 species